AGAGUUUGAUCCUGGCUCAGGAUGAACGCUGGCGGCGUGCUUAAUACAUGCAAGUCGAACGGAGUGUAGCAAUACACUUAGUGGCGAACGGGCGAGUAACGAGUUGGUGAUCUGCCCCGAAGUGUGGGAUAACAGUCCGAAAGGAUUGCUAAUACCUCAUGUGGUUGCCGGGUUUAGAAGCUGGCAACUAAAGCAGUAAUGCGCUUCGGGAGGAACCUGCUUCCCAUCAGCUAGUUGGUGAGGUAACGGCUCACCAAGGCUACGACGGGUAAGGGACCUGAGAGGGUGGUCCCUCGCAAUGGCACUGAAACACGGGCCAUACACCUACGGGUGGCAGCAGUAGGGAAUAUUGGGCAAUGGGCGAAAGCCUGACCCAGCAACGCCGCGUGUGCGAUGAAGGCCCUCGGGUCGUAAAGCACUUUUCUGAGGAAUGAGAAUGGACAGUACCUCAGGAAUAAGUCUCGGCUAACUACGUGCCAGCAGCCGCGGUAAU
rnacentral:rRNA from 1 species